CGGGAUAUAGCUCAGCCUGGUAGAGCACUGUCUUCGGGAGGCAGGGGUCGUAGGUUCAAAUCCUGUUAUCCCGACCA
rnacentral:tRNA from 2 species